GACGCAUUUAUAACCCUCCGAUGAAAGCCACGUGUCACUCCGAUCUAAAUAUCUCGACCUUAUCGGGUCCCACACUUCCAAUCCUCGACCUUAUCCACCUUACGUAGACCUAAGAUCCAACUGCCACGUCACACAUAAUUCAACGGCUCAGAUUGACCCGAUCGCCUUUAAAUCAUCGCUUCCUUCAUGAAACAUGGAAACUCUCUACAACAAGUUUCAAAAAACCCCAAAAACUUUAGAUUCUUAACAAUUUCAACCCUAUGGGCUUACUUGAUCAUCUCUGGGAUGAUACCGUCGCUGGUCCACGGCCAGAAAACGGCCUUGGCAAGCUUCGUAAACACCAUACCUUCAGUUUCCGACCUAGCUCCGGCAAUGGUACGCCGUGUUUUGCUAAAAAUUGAACCGAUGAAUCAAAUCUAUAUAACAUAAAUCUAAAAUUAGUAAACAUGCACUAAAGUAUUUGAAUCUGAUGAUCGAUCUCAUGUUAAAAUUGAUUAAAUCGUUGGUUUGAUGUAAUUUUCUUGAUCUUGAUUUUAAUGGAUGUGAUUAGAUCAACCGGAAGCUGGAAGUGCGAGAUCGUACGGUGAGGAUUCGCUACCGGAAGAGGCAGUGAAAGUUACAAGAAGCAUCAUGAUUGUUAAACCACCGGGUUAUCAAGGCGGUUCAGCUCCGGCUUCGCCGGC
rnacentral:lncRNA from 1 species